rnacentral:lncRNA from 1 species
AUAGAUCCCGUCAGUUUUCGAUAUUGGUGGGGAAAGGCCGCCAUUAAACUAAUCAUCGAAAAUUGGUUCCACGUGUUGGCCAUCUCGGUCCCGCCUGUAGGACCGAGAUAUGUCUACCUCCGUGGCCGUAGUCCAGGUGGAUGGCCUCCAGGCCUAAUCCGUAGACCAAAUCGUUCCUCUACCGUUAUUUUAAAGCAUUAUUCUCGGUUGGGGAGGGCUCUCCUCUCAGAAAAUUGUCGCGGCCCCGGUUUCCGGUAGAAAAUGCGGUGGUUUUUGACCCGAACCCAAAAAUUUGACUUAGGCCGUUUUAUUUAAACUAAGUAAAGAGCAGAUCUUCCAGUCGUUGCUCAUUUUCACGGCUAGGCCGACUAAUCCCAGAAGGCCGGUAAAUUAUCCAGUUGGAUCCGGAUUAAUUUCCUGGCCUAAUUUCGUCCGGGACGGCUAGUAGAACAACCUAAACCUCCCCAGAUAAGGUGGGCUGUUUUCUAAGGAGAUAUAUCUUCUGGUGAAAGGUCCUAGCGGUUGGGAUUUAUAAGCCUAUAAAGGAAUUUAUUCGGUAUAUCUGUCCGAAUGAACAACAUAAACUUUAAUUAAAAUUCGAAUAAUAUUCAUUAAAAAUUUCUCGAGUUUUAUAUCGCGUAUAUAUUUUUAACUAACACGAGUUUAUUUAUCCUUAAACCGUGAUUGGGUACGGUUAAACGGGGCGCGUGCGGAAAAUGCUUUUUCCCUUAAUCUUAUCGGUUGAAUUAUUUCAAACCAUUAAUUUAUAUUUAUAAACUACGCAGUCCGAGAUAGGUGGCGAUUGGUGGCCUUAUCGAUAGAUAAUUCUAAGCACCCGUAUCCCGUAUUGUAUUUUACACCGACGAAAGAAUCUGUGAUAGGCGUAUAUGUAUCUUAAGUACCUCCAAUAUUUCUAUCUACUUGGCUAUUAUUUUUGAAUGUUUACGCCUACUAGAAAAAUAACGCGUAUCUUUUAGCCAAUAAUUUACUCGGUCCAUACGGUUUUAGCGGAUUCCCAUCAGCGGAACAAACAACCGACAUCCAUAUCUGGUUCUGGUGGCUACUGUCCCAUCGGUUACGGAAAAUACGGGACGGAUAUAAGCUAGCCAGCGCUCGAAGAAGAACCGCUAGUUUUGGACACCAAACCUUAAUAAUCGAUUAAUUUAUCUAUAUUAAUACCGUCAAAGGCGGCUGUGGUAUGUAGGAAAUGGUCGGUAUAAGUUUCCUACCCACGGCAAUCUUACGUAUUUAUUUAAUAUACGUCCUGGGAUUAGUGGAAACCGCCAAAAGGAGCCAGUGGCGGAUAAGGAACGUUUCCGGAAGCGGAAGAACAGGCGGAUCCGACCGCCAUCCCGUGGACCGGUCCACAGGUAAAUUAAUUUAAAGGGAAGGAUCAUCCGUGGGCGUGAUUUUAUCCGCCUCCACCGGUGCCGGUGUGGGCCGAUAAAUGCCUAGUUAACCCAUUUCCCGCUUACCGUGCCCAUGGGCGGGUGGAACGACCGCCCGUCCACUCACCCGCCGCCUGGUCUUUCCGUCCGCCGGCGCGCCACCCCAUCCCAGUUCGGAAGUUCCGACGCCGGUCGGCUUAGUAGCGGCCAGCUUUUCCGCCGGCUAAUCCGAUACGGUGGAAAUCCUGCCGAGAAUUCCGGAAGAACGACGGUUGCCGGAUUUCUUCACUAGAGUGAUCCCAGAUUUUACCGGCUAGGCCCGGUUCUUCCUUCCGUUUGGCCAGGCCGCGCCCGGCUCUCUUACCGGCCGAUGGUAGCGUCUAUUUAUACUGGCCCUUUUCCCAUCCUCCGUCCACGCUCUAAAUAGCCGCCGUGGGCCCAGAUAAUCCGACGGACGGGUUAAAAAGAACCGGAAUCCUGGGCCAUCUUUCUAAAACUGGCCGGAGUGGCGGCCUCCACUUACGGAAGGCGCGGGCUUAGCCUCCGUCUCUUCGCCUCCCUCCACCGCCGGGAUAACUCGUGGAACGGGCUCCCCGCCGUCGUCCGGGAAGGACGGCGGCCAUUUUAAAAACGACGACUUCCACUUACCUGUGGCGACGUUAACCGGAAUAGCGGCGGGAAGACCGCCGAUCUAACUAGUUAAAACGGAAGAAGCGGGCAGCGGCGCCCACCCGUCGCGGGUGGUGUACCGGCCACCACGGGGUUUUCCGCCAGGCCAUCCGUUCCGGGCUCUAGUCGUCGGUCGAAGAUCACCGAUUCCGCCGCCAGGUGGCCGCCGUACGCUAGGUGGACGGCCGCCGGGGCAGGUAAAACGCGUGGCCGGGCACGUGCGCGGCCUUUACGGUGUCGGGGCGCCGGUGGAUGGAAAAAUAUACGUGUUUACGCCUAUACCCGUCCGGGAGGUCGCGGCUUGGGCUAGGGGAAGGCGCCCGGAGAGGUGGUCGGGGCCGUUUCCCCGGGCGGCGCGCCGACCGGGCCGCUGGGAAAAUUUCCACGGGCUUUCUUCUCGGUAUACCCGGUAAUAUACUUUAAACCCGAGCAAAUUAGUGUAACGGAUAAGUGAGACCACCGAUAGUCGAUUUAGGGCCGAAGAGGAGGAAAUGGUGAUGGCGAGAGCGAAGGAGCGCGGUCGACCAUACUUUGGGCUGUGUAAAAUUUCCAGCUUCUCGGCAGCGGUGGAAAUUCCCUUCUGGAAUAUUCUCGGUAUCGAUCGAAGAAACGGAGGACGUCCGGCUAAGAAUUAUCGAUAUCUACCGUUUUCUACUUUUAGACGGCGGCUAAAGGAGAUCCAAAUCUACGUCUACCGGAUUCUCCGGUCUAGAUAGUGUAUCUAUCUUGUCGAAAAUUUACUUAUUUUUUCUCCGUACCGCCCGGUAUAUCCGAACUUUAAACCGCAUUGGGCCCGCUCUUUUUAUCAUUUUACGCUUUACUUAUUUAUACCGGCUGGCCGUAAAGCUGUAGCUGUUAAAUAGAAAACGACGGUGGCGCCUCCGACCGGUCCAUCAAAAAUCGAUUUCUAGCUGCGGCCGUGCUAAACCGGCGGAAAAGUGUUCCGUCGCGACGGCUGGUACGGACGCCGGUGGUCCGUUAAGGGGACGGGAUAGGAUGGGGCGGCCAGUCGACGGUUUUCGUCCGUUAAACGGAAGGCCACUACCGCCCGAGCGUCGGUGACACGUAUUCCGAAUUUUGUACGGUCGGAAAUUAGCCAAUGGGCCGGGCUAUUGUUCCUAGAUAGCGUCAUCCUUGGCGCCGCUAGAUGCGGCCAAAUCGGCCAUUUUAUAUCCUGUUAUAGAGCGUUAAGACUUUUCCAAACACCAUCUCGGUUGGCCAGGUAAGCGAUUGCUGUAUUUGUAAAUUAGAAAAGAAAUAUAGUAUUUCUUGCCAAA